rnacentral:misc_RNA from 1 species
CUUCUUCUUCUUCUUCUUCUUUUCAAAAGAAAAAAAAGGAGAAAUUUAAACAAUACCUGUAAUGGAUUACAUUUCUUUCACAUUGACUCUUCACAAUUUAAUUGAUUUCCCUAUCCAAAUGAUUUCUUGGUUUUUCUUUUGGAAACCCUUGCUUCAACUCAUCUGCAACAACAUAAUACGCAGUACACUUCUUAUUCCUUCGAAUAUUUCCCCAAAUGGAGGCUUAGGGAAGGGUUUAACAACUAAUAGAGAUUCUUCUUCUUCUUCUUCUUCAUACAUUGACUGAAUUGGAGGCUUAGGAAAGGAUUUAACAUCUGCUAGAGACAAGAGUCGAAAGUUUGGUUGGCCUCCCUGCCUUCGUGAGUGCUAGAAAUGGGAAGGGGCAGCAGCAGGGGUUCCUCUUCAUUGCUCAAUUCUAGCGUUUCUUUGGGUGAAAAUCAGUACUACUACUGGGUUACCGAGAAAAGAAGGCAGGGGCGGGAAUUUUAUGGUGAAGGACAAUCAGAAAUUUGUCAGCAAGGAGGUGGUUUUUGGCUUGAUUAUUGCCGAUGAUUAGCCACCUCUUCGCCCUUUCUAGAUCCUUCUGGCUCUCUUGCUCGUUAAUUCUCCCUUCUGCCCCCACUUUUCU